rnacentral:rRNA from 1 species
UGAUGGCCUACCAAGGCGACGACGGGUAGCCGGCCUGAGAGGGCGACCGGCCACACUGGGACUGAGACACGGCCCAGACUCCUACGGGAGGCAGCAGUGGGGAAUAUUGCACAAUGGGCGAAAGCCUGAUGCAGCGACGCCGCGUGAGGGAUGACGGCCUUCGGGUUGUAAACCUCUUUCAGCAGGGAAGAAGCCUUUAAAAGUGACGGUACCUGCAGAAGAAGCACCGGCUAACUACGUGCCAGCAGCCGCGGUAAUACGUAGGGUGCGAGCGUUGUCCGGAAUUAUUGGGCGUAAAGAGCUCGUAGGCGGCUUGUCGCGUCGGGUGUGGAAGCCCGGGGCUUAACCCUGGGUCUGCAUUCGAUACGGGCAGGCUAGAGUUCGGUAGGGGAGAUCGGAAUUCCUGGUGUAGCGGUGAAAUGCGCAGAUAUCAGGAGGAACACCGGUGGCGAAGGCGGAUCUCUGGGCCGAUACUGACGCUGAGGAGCGAAAGCAUGGGGAGCGAACAGGAUUAGAUACCCUGGUAGUCCAUGCCGUAAACGUUGGGCACUAGGUGUGGGCGACAUUCCACGUUGUCCGUGCCGCAGCUAACGCAUUAAGUG